GAGUUUGAUCUUGGCUCAGGAUGAACGCUGGCGGCGUGCCUAAUACAUGCAAGUCGAGCGAACAGACGAGGAGCUUGCUCCUCUGACGUUAGCGGCGGACGGGUGAGUAACACGUGGAUAACCUACCUAUAAGACUGGGAUAACUUCGGGAAACCGGAGCUAAUACCGAAUAAUAUAUUGAACCGCAUGGUUCAAUAGUGAAAAACGGUUUUGCUGUCACUUAUAGAUGGAUCCGCGCCGCAUUAGCUAGUUGGUAGGGUAACGGCUUACCAAGGCGACGAUGCGUAGCCGACCUGAGAGGGUGAUCGGCCACACUGGAACUGAGACACGGUCCAGACUCCUACGGGAGGCAGCAGUAGGGAAUCUUCCGCAAUGGGCGAAAGCCUGACGGAGCAACGCCGCGUGAGUGAUGAAGGUCUUCGGAUCGUAAAACUCUGUUAUUAGGGAAGAACAAAUGUGUAAGUAACUAUGCACGUCUUGACGGUACCUAAUCAGAAAGCCACGGCUAACUACGUGCCAG
rnacentral:rRNA from 1 species